rnacentral:rRNA from 2 species
UACGUAGGGUGCAAGCGUUGUCCGGAAUUAUUGGGCGUAAAGAGCUCGUAGGCGGCUCGUCACGUCGGCUGUGAAAACCCGGGGCUCAACCCCGGGCCUGCAGUCGAUACGGGCGAGCUAGAGUUCGGCAGGGGAGACUGGAAUUCCUGGUGUAGCGGUGAAAUGCGCAGAUAUCAGGAGGAACACCGGUGGCGAAGGCGGGUCUCUGGGCCGAUACUGACGCUGAGGAGCGAAAGCGUGGGGAGCGAACAGG